rnacentral:rRNA from 1 species
UGCAAGUCGACGGUAGAGGGGGCAACCCCUUGAGAGUGGCGAACGGGUGAGUAAUGCAUCGGAACGUGCCCAGUCGUGGGGGAUAGCCCGGGGAAACCCGGAUUAAUACCGCAUACGACCUGAGGGUGAAAGCGGGGGACCGAAAGGCCUCGCGCGAUUGGAGCGGCCGAUGUCGGAUUAGGUAGUUGGUGGGGUAAAGGCCUACCAAGCCUGCGAUCCGUAGCUGGUCUGAGAGGACGACCAGCCACACUGGGACUGAGACACGGCCCAGACUCCUACGGGAGGCAGCAGUGGGGAAUUUUGGACAAUGGGGGCAACCCUGAUCCAGCCAUGCCGCGUGCGGGAAGAAGGCCUUCGGGUUGUAAACCGCUUUUGUCAGGGAAGAAAUGUUCUGGGUUAAUAACCUGGGGGGAGGGCGGUGCCUGAAGAAUAAGCACCGGCUAACUACGUGCCAGCAGCCGCGGUAAUACGUAGGGUGCGAGCGUUAAUCGGAAUUACUGGGCGUAAAGCGUGCGCAGGCGGUCAUACAAGACAGAUGUGAAAUCCCCGGGCUCAACCUGGGAACUGCAUUUGUGACUGUAUGGCUGGAGUACGGUAGAGGGGAGUGGAAUUCCGCGUGUAGCAGUGAAAUGCGUAGAUAUGCGGAGGAACACCGAUGGCGAAGCAGCUCCCUGGACCUGUACUGACGCUCAUGCACGAA